rnacentral:pre_miRNA from 1 species
AGUGGGAUAGCUGGGUCAAAUGGUGGUUCCAUUCCAAGUUUUCUAAGGAAUCUCCAUACCGUUUUCCAGAUUGGUUGCACCAAUUUGUAGUCCCACAAGCAAG